AUCGAACGCUGGCGGCAGGCCUAACACAUGCAAGUCGAGCGGAGCGGCGGACGGGUGAGUAAUGCCUAGGAAUCUGCCUGGUAGUGGGGGAUCACGUCCGGAAACGGGCGCUAAUACCGCAUACUAUCAGAUGAGCCUAGGUCGAAUUAGCUAGUUGGUGGGGUAAAGGCCUACCAAGGCGACGAUCCGUAACUGGGCUGAGAGGAUGAUCAGUCACAUUGGAACUGAGACACGGUCCAGACUCCUACGGGAGGCAGCAGUGGGGAAUAUUCGACAAUGGGCGAAAGCCUGAUGCAGCAAUGCCGCGUGAGUGAAGAAGGUCUUCGGAUUGUAAAGCACUGUAAGUGGGGAGGCGGUAACAACAGAGAAAGCACCGGCUAACUUCGUGCCAGCAGCCGCGGUAAUUC
rnacentral:rRNA from 1 species